rnacentral:rRNA from 1 species
UACGAAGGGUGCAAGCGUUACUCGGAAUUACUGGGCGUAAAGGGUGCGUAGGUGGUCGUUUAAGUCCGUUGUGAAAUCCCUGGGCUCAACCUGGGAAUGGCAGUGGAUACUGGACGGCUAGAAUGCGGUAGAGGGUAGUGGAAUUCCCGGUGUAGCAGUGAAAUGCGUAGAGAUCGGGAGGAACACCAGUGGCGAAGGCGGUUGCCUGGGGCUUUGCUGACGCUGAUGCGCGAAAGCGUGGGGAGCGAUCCGG